rnacentral:rRNA from 1 species
GCUUGCUGGGGGAUUAGUGGCGAACGGGUGAGUAACACGUGAGUAACCUGCCCUUGACUCUGGGAUAAGCCUGGGAAACUGGGUCUAAUACCGGAUACGACCAUCUGGCGCAUGUCAUGGUGGUGGAAAGCUUUUGUGGUUUUGGAUGGACUCGCGGCCUAUCAGCUUGUUGGUGGGGUAAUGGCCUACCAAGGCGACGACGGGUAGCCGGCCUGAGAGGGUGACCGGCCACACUGGGACUGAGACACGGCCCAGACUCCUACGGGAGGCAGCAGUGGGGAAUAUUGCACAAUGGGCGCAAGCCUGAUGCAGCGACGCCGCGUGAGGGAUGACGGCCUUCGGGUUGUAAACCUCUUUCAGUAGGGAAGAAGCGAAAGUGACGGUACCUGCAGAAGAAGCGCCGGCUAACUACGUGCCAGCAGCCGCGGUAAUACGUAGGGCGCAAGCGUUAUCCGGAAUUAUUGGGCGUAAAGAGCUCGUAGGCGGUUUGUCGCGUCUGCUGUGAAAGACCGGGGCUCAACUCCGGUUCUGCAGUGGGUACGGGCAGACUAGAGUGCAGUAGGGGAGACUGGAAUUCCUGGUGUAGCGGUGAAAUGCGCAGAUAUCAGGAGGAACACCGAUGGCGAAGGCAGGUCUCUGGGCUGUAACUGACGCUGAGGAGCG